rnacentral:rRNA from 1 species
CUAAUAGACUACCCGGUAGUCCACGCCGUAAACGAUGAAUACUAGGUGUGGGGGUUAUCAUGACCGUCCGUGCCGCAGUUAACACAAUAAGUAUUCCGCCUGGGGAGUACGGUCGCAAGAUUAAAACUCAAAGGAAUUGACGGGGGCCCGCACAGGCAGCGGAGCAUGUGGUUUAAUUCGAAGCAACGCGAAGAACCUUACCUAGACUUGACAUCUCCUGAAUUACCGGUAAUGCGGGAAGCCCUUCGGGGCAGGAAGACAGGUGGUGCAUGGUUGUCGUCAGCUCGUGUCGUGAGAUGUUGGGUUAAGUCCCGCAACGAGCGCAACCCUUGUCGUUAGUUGCUACCAUUAAGUUGAGCACUCUAGCGAGACUGCCGCGGUUAACGCGGAGGAAGGUGGGGAUGACGUCAAAUCAUCAUGCCCCUUAUGUCUAGGGCUACACACGUGCUACAAUGGUCGGUACAAAAGACGCAAAACCGUGAGGUGGAGCAAAACUUUAAAACCGAUCCCAGUUCGGAUUGUAGGCUGCAACUCGCCUACAUGAAGCCGG